CACGCAACCUACACAAAAUUCAGUUAUCUGCUAGCAGAUAACUGAAUUUUGUGUAGGUUGCGUG